rnacentral:rRNA from 1 species
CAGCAGUAGCCACGGGAAAACCAGCACCUCGAGUGGUCAGGAGGUUUAUUGGGCCUAAAGCAUCCGUAGCCGGUUGCAUAAGUUUUCGGUUAAAUCUAUGCGCUUAACGUAUAGGCCGCCGAAAAUACUGUGCAGCUAGGGAGUGGGAGAGGUACACGGUACUCGAUAGGAAGGGGUAAAAUCCUUUGAUCUAUUGAUGACCACCUGUGGCGAAGGCGGUGUACCAGAACACGUUCGACGGUGAGGGAUGAAAGCUGGGGGAGCAAACCGGAUUAGAUACCCGGGUAGUCCCUGUCUCUUAUAU